rnacentral:SRP_RNA from 1 species
GCCGGGUGUAGUGGCGUGCACCUGUAGUCCUAGCUACUCGGGAGGCUGAGACAGAAGAAUCGGUUGAACCCGGGAGGCAGAGGUUGCAGUGAGCUGAAAUCGCACCACUGCACUCUAGCCUGGGCAACAGAGUGAGAUUCCGUCUCAA